GAUGAACGCUGGCGGCGUGCCUAACACAUGCAAGUCGAACGAAGCGCCUGGCCCCGACUUCUUCGGAACGAGGAGCCUUGCGACUGAGUGGCGGACGGGUGAGUAACGCGUGGGCAACCUGCCUUGCACUGGGGGAUAACAGCCAGAAAUGGCUGCUAAUACCGCAUAAGACCGAAGCGCCGCAUGGCGCUGCGGCCAAAGCCCCGGCGGUGCAAGAUGGGCCCGCGUCUGAUUAGGUAGUUGGCGGGGUAACGGCCCACCAAGCCGACGAUCAGUAGCCGACCUGAGAGGGUGACCGGCCACAUUGGGACUGAGACACGGCCCAGACUCCUACGGGAGGCAGCAGUGGGGAAUAUUGCACAAUGGGGGAAACCCUGAUGCAGCGACGCCGCGUGAAGGAUGAAGUAUUUCGGUAUGUAAACUUCUAUCAGCAGGGAAGAAGAUGACGGUACCUGACUAAGAAGCCCCGGCUAACUACGUG
rnacentral:rRNA from 1 species